rnacentral:lncRNA from 1 species
ACAAAAAUAAUCUUAUGCAUUUCAAUAUUUAUCAAGCUUUUGAAUAACAUGAAAGGAAGGAAAAUGUCAGCAAAACAAUCUUUACACUGUAAAUAGCAGAACAAUAUUUGUUUUUCUCAUAGCAUAAAUAUUGAAAAAUGCAUUAAUUAUGGUAACAGUAGCAACUUUGGAGCUAUGUCAAAAAAUGUUUUAUGCAUACAACAAUGUCUGAAUAAGAUGGCGAGUUAGAAAUUUUAGACACUCGCCCCAAGCUGGCAAGUGGGAUUUCAAUUUGGCGAGUUCCAAGAAAAAAAGGUUUCACACACUGCACAUACUUAAUAGCAGACAUAUCUUAACCUUCAUGUAAAAUCAUGAUUUAAUGUAUGCAAAAAUAACUAUGUAUUUUCAAAAACCAACAAUUAUGUGAGAUUAAUUAAUGCAAUUUCCAUACUGGAAAAG